GCCGACAUAGCUCAGUUGGUAGAGCAGCUGAUUCGUAAUCAGCAGGUCCACGGUUCAAGUCCGUGUGUCGGCUCCA
rnacentral:tRNA from 1 species